GAUGAACGCUAGCGGCAGGCCUAAUACAUGCAAGUCGUGGGGCAGCAGGACUGUAGCAAUACAGUUGCUGGCGACCGGCAAACGGGUGCGGCACACGUACGCAACUUAUCCUGAACUGGGGGAUAGCCCGGGGAAACUCGGAUCAAUACCCCGUAAUAUAAUGGAGUGGCAUCCCUUUAUUAUUAAAGCUCCGGCGGUUCGGGAUGGGCGUGCGGCUGAUUAGGUAGUUGGUUGAGGUAACGGCUCACCAAGCCCACGAUCAGUAACUGGUGUGAGAGCACGACCAGUCACAGGGACACUGAGACGCGAGACCGAACCCUAGGCGAGGCAGCGAUAAGGAAGAUAGGGAAAUGGGGGCAACACUGACCCAGCCAUGCCGCGUGGAGGAUGAAGGCCCUCUUGAGUGGAGACUUCUUUUAUAGGGGACGGCACCUGUGUAUGCUUACGUAGUGACCGGAACCCUAGAAAUAGACACGGGCAAACUCGGG
rnacentral:rRNA from 1 species